AUAUAUAUAUAUAUAUAUAUAUAUAUAUAUAUAUAAUUAGAAAACGGUGAAAAACAUAGUUUAAGCAACACAUCGAUUAGACCACAUUUUAAAGCUUGUUUAUUGAUACAAUGCAAGAUAUAACAAAGCUAACAGCUGUUUCUAAUCAGAUUGCGAGAAUGUAUUCUAUAGAUAAUUGCGAAGAUAAAAUUCUUCAUCUUCAUAGGGUAUUCGAAUUAAGGCAACAUGUUUUCAUCAGAGUGAAAAACAAGAGCAUACAAUACAUACAAGGAAAAGAAAAGAAAAACAUGGUUUAGAUAAAUAGUCGAGAAGCCCAAAAUGUUAAGUGCGCAUAAUUAUUUACCAUCCGGGCUCAAAGACUGCAGAUGAGCGAGUGAACUAUUAAAGGACUAGGGAAUACUACAAAUCAUUAGCGGGAACGUGCAGUUAAGAGGGGGAGGGCGUCAGGUUUUUAAAAAAGAAAAUUAUCAAGAAGUUCCGUGUACGCCUGAAACAAAUAAAAGAAUAAAAGCAAAUGUAUAUAUAUAUAUAUAUAUAUAUAUAUAUAUAUAUAUAUAUAUAUAUUAUAAUUAACUAAUUAAUUAAUGAAGGAUAAAAACCAUUUAAUAAUUUUAUCAAGUAGCCAGCACGUGAAAACCAUUUAGGUAACUAUUUAUUACUGAUAUAUAAUUAUAUAGAUAUAGUUAUACCCUAGGGUGUAGAUAAAACUCACCAACACGCUAGAAAUAGACGCUAAUAGCUCUAUAAACCGCAUAUUAUUUUACUCCGUAAGCACGGGUUGAAAGCUGGCUAAUGAAUAACCUGAUUUAUACAUUGGCUCGCUUUCAACCUGUGCUAACGGAGUAAAAUAAUAUGUGGUAUAUAGAGCUAUUAGCUUCUAUUUCUAGCGUGUUGGUCGGGUUUAUCCACACCCUAGGCUAUAAUUAUAUAUCCUUAUAUACAUAAAUCGUAUAAUUUCGCACAGUUACAAGCUUCAUCUUUAUUUUCAAGGUGUUGAAUCAUGGAAUGGGGUCCUUUAAAGACAUGAAAUUUGUGUGGACUGUCCGAUAUAUCUUGUAGAUGAUACAAAAUAUAAGUUAGUGAGCUAAUUAUUCUCUUGAAACUGAAAACGAAGAGAACUAUCUCUUCGUAGAUAAACAUAGUUCAGGCUAUAGACAAGCACACAUGGAAUAACAAAGGCAUACAUAACAUUAUAUAUACAUAUCCAUCUAUCUGUCUAUCUGUCUAUCUAUCUGUCUAUCUAUCUGUCUAUCUAUCUGUCUAUCUAUCUAUCUAUCUAUCUAUCUAUCUAUCUAUCUAUCUAUCUAUCUAUCUAUCUAUCUAUUUAUCUAUCUAUAUAUAUCUAACGGAAACCGAGAUAGAUCUACACAAGCACACAAAUAUACACACGCGCGCGUGAACUCACACAAACUGAUUAAUAAUUGUAUGGAAAUAAACAGAAAUGUGUGUCUCAAUUACGGAAUUGUUAGGUGGUUACGAUAAAGACCACUCAAACAAUGAGCUCAACUGACAUAUGGAAUUUAUCCGGGAAAGAGGUACACAUUAUCUAUUGAUUGAAAGUAAGGGAUCAAAGGUAGAAUAAGAUAAAUGAUUCAGUAACAUAUAGACAUAUUUAAAAAUAUAAGUGUACAAAAAAUUUUAACAACUAAUGAAAGUCCUAAAGGAGAUAUAACAGUAUAAAAAAUAUGGCAUACACUUAUAUAAACAAAAAUGAUUUAUAUAUAUAUAUAUGUUUAUAUAAAGAAUAUAUUAGAAUUAUAAGAUGUAAUUAUAUAAAAAAAAACUGAAAAGUAUCAAUUUAGGUGUCAUAUUGCAUCAUAUCUUAUGCAUACUUGCAGAGAGAAGUUGUAAUAUAUACUUCGUGACUCAGAAUGUUAAACCAGUAUAUGGGAAGGUAAAUAGGAAUACAAAAUAUAAAACUUUAAUAAUAUAUAAAAUUUUAACAAUAUACGAUAAAAAUAAUAUAAAGGAUAAAAAUUUAGUAAGAAAAACAUACAAAAAUAAGAAAUCGAUUUAAUAAAUAAAAAAAUUAAAAAUAUAUAAAGGCAAGAGAUCAAAAUAAAAAAUAGAAAAAAAAAAAAAAGAUAAUAGGUAUAUAUAUAAUAAGGAUACUUUAAGGUAUUCCUACCAAAGUAGAUUCAGGUGCAAGUAAAUUAAGAUGAAGAUAUCAUUGGAUGCGGUUUUAUAAAUUAUAAUAUUACAGGUACUGUUGUAUGCAUGAUUGUACAGUGCAUAGAGGUGUAAGAUUUAUUCAAGGGAGGCUUACUAUCUCAUAACUCACUACAAAUAUACCUACUGUGGCUGAUAGGGUAGAAGUCAUAGGAAGGAAAGGACAGUGUAAUCACUGCAUAGGAUGGAAUCAGACUAAACAGACAGGGAUUACUACAGGGCAAUAUUAUGUAUAAUACAUCAUAUAACACAAUACAUAACAUGUAAUACAUAUAUAAUGUAAUACAAUAUAAUAUAGAAUAUCCUACAAUAGAGGGUAAGUUAAUUAAGGAUACGUCAUCCAAAGCUAAUUUCCACCAUCAAACCCAAAGUAUGAUGAGUAUAACCUUAUUUGCUCCGAAAAUAUUUAAAUGUGCGGGUGAUGCUAUGCAUUUACUAUUAAUUAGGUUGCUCUAGUCUCUGUACUUAAAAAUCUCAUAAAUUUCCAUAGAACAAAGCUCACAUUCAUAUCUACUAUCUCUAUAUGGUUGCACCAUCCGUACUAUAUGCCAUUCAAGGCUAAAUCUAUUCUCGCUUUCCUUAAGUUCCCAGAUCUUACUAGAUAAAGAAGUACUAUUAGCUUUAUAUAUAAGUCUAAAUGAUGAAAGAUAGUUCUUGAUACGCUUUUUGUAUUUAUCGAAUAAAACCACUAGUUUCAGUCAAGAUUGUAUAUUUGUAAACUACGUUUUGGACUAAACAGCGACCUAAUAACGGGCAAUAUGAUUUUACACUACAAUUACAACCGGUAGUAUUACAGCUAAUAUUUUUACUACUACUACUACUACUACUACUGUCAUUAUUAUUAAAAAUAUUAUUAUUACUGCUAUAAUUAUUAUCGGCAUUAUUACUACUGAUAUUAGUACUACUUCUAUCGAUUAUAGUAGCAUUUAAAUUAUUGCAGCAAUACCAGGUAUUGUGUCAGUAAUACCUAGGUUAGCAUAAACAUCAGCGUCACAGUUUAUAUUAUAUAUAUGUUAGAUAUAUUAGUUCUGCUGUUCUGGAUUCUUAUAUACCCACUAUUAUUAUCAUCAUCAUUAUUGACAAUAUUAGUAUUAUUAUUAAUUCCUCGUGCUAAUUCCUUCUAUUAAAACGUGCUAUGAUAGUACCGAGGGUAGAAUAUGAGAUUCUGAUUGUCUUACGAGAAAAUACUCUAUUAUACCUAUGGGAUGCUGGGAUCCGUUUAUCUAAAAGUGCCAUAAAUUUACUAUAUAUGUUGGUAGAUAUAGCCCAGUUAAAGGGAACAUUAUACUAGACUAUAUUACUCUUUCGAGACUUCUUAUAUUUGUGGGGGCGGAUUCUAUCUACUCUUCAUAUGUACUCCGAACCCACUGCUUCAUUAUUGAGUAUGGCUCCACUAUUGGUAUUUAUAUUAUCAUUAGAGGAUGACACAUUCUGCUCAAUCACAUUAUAAUAUAAACUAUUCUUCUUACCGACCAUAAGUUCUGUUUUUUUUUGUUGUUAUAUAUCUUAUUCUUUGAUUUAAUAGGAAUGCUAGAAGCUUUCCCAGUAGGUCUGUUUUCCCGACUAGGUGGGUUUCUGUUCCUCUUCUCCAUUAAAUUUUUCUCAUGAUUACCAGUAGGUUUUAGACUUUCCAAAUUAAGGAAGUAAGAAAGUAAGAUUCGAGGGAACAUCUAAUAAUGUUUAUUUAUGACCAACAGCCAGUUCUGAACAGCCAACUCGUAAUGCCCUUAUUCAUAAUAAACGUAGUCUACUAGCAUUAGAUCUUUGAUGUUGAUAAGGUGAUAGAUAAAAAGUUUUAAAAAAUUAGAAAUGAAUUACAAUUCCAUGACCCCCACUGUGAAUCAUUCCCGCCACUCUAAAGUUGUAAUUGUUUUUCUCUUAGAUUAUUUCUGCAGCAAUAAUGGCAACAUGGAAGUUUUAUAUCCCCUAACUCAG
rnacentral:lncRNA from 1 species